rnacentral:rRNA from 1 species
CAGUCGCCGCGGGAAUACGAAGGGUGCAAGCGUUACUCGGAAUUACUGGGCGUAAAGCGUGCGUAGGUGGUGGUUUAAGUCCGUUGUGAAAGCCCUGGGCUCAACCUGGGAAUUGCAGUGGAUACUGGAUCACUAGAGUGUGGUAGAGGAUAGUGGAAUUUCCGGUGUAGCAGUGAAAUGCGUAGAGAUCGGAAGGAACAUCUGUGGCGAAGGCGACUAUCUGGGCCAACACUGACACUGAGGCACGAAAGCGUGGGGAGCAAACAGGAUUAGAUACCCCAGUAGUCCCUGUCUCUUAUAC